AACGAACGCUGGCGGCAGGCUUAACACAUGCAAGUCGAACGGAAACUUCGGGAUUCUUGGCUGACGGCUGAGUAACGCCUGGUGACGUACCCUUUGCUACGGAAUUCCUUAGUGGAAGUUGAGCUCAUACCGUAAGUGCACCUCCGGGCAAAGAUUUACCCGCAAAGGAUGGGGCCGCGUUGGAUUCGCCUGUUGGUGGGGUACGCGCCUAUCAAGGCGACGAUCCAUAGCUGUUCAGGGAGGAUGAUCAGCCACACUUGAGCUGAGACACGGCCGAGACUACUACGGGAGGGAGGGGUGGGGAAUAUUGGACAAUGGGCGCAAGCCAGAUCCAGCCAGGCCGGGUGAGUGAUGAAGGUGGUAGGAAAGUAAGUCUCGUUCACAGGUGAAGUGAGUGACGGUAGCCGGAGAAGAAGCACCGGCUAACUUCGUG
rnacentral:rRNA from 1 species